GACGAACGCUGGCGGCGUGCUUAACACAUGCAAGUCGAACGGAAAGGCCCUGCUUUUGUGGGGUGCUCGAGUGGCGAACGGGUGAGUAACACGUGAGUAACCUGCCCUUGACUUUGGGAUAACUUCAGGAAACUGGGGCUAAUACCGGAUAGGAGCUCCUGCUGCAUGGUGGGGGUUGGAAAGUUUCGGCGGUUGGGGAUGGACUCGCGGCUUAUCAGCUUGUUGGUGGGGUAGUGGCUUACCAAGGCUUUGACGGGUAGCCGGCCUGAGAGGGUGACCGGCCACAUGGGGACUGAGAUACGGCCCAGACGCGUACGGGAGGCAGCAGUGGGGAGUAUUGCACAAUGGGCGGAAGCCUGAUGCAGCAACGCCGCGUGCGGAAUGACGGCCUUCGGGUUGUAAACCGCUUUCGACUGUGACGAAGCGGGAGUGACGGUAAUGAGUAAAGAAGCACCGGCUAACUACGUG
rnacentral:rRNA from 1 species